UACAGAGGUCCCAAGCGUUGUUCGGAUUCAUUGGGCGUAAAGGGUGCGUAGGCGGCGCGGUAAGUCGGGUGUGAAAUUUCGGAGCUUAACUCCGAAACUGCAUUCGAUACUGCGGUGCUUGAGGACUGGAGAGGAGACUGGAAUUCAUGGUGUAGCAGUGAAAUGCGUAGAGAUCAUGAGGAAGACCAGUGGCGAAGGCGGGUCUCUGGACAGUUCCUGACACUGAGACACGAAGGCCAGGGGAGCAAACGGG
rnacentral:rRNA from 1 species